GUGGCAGACGGGUGAGUAACACGUGGGAACCUACCCAAAGGUACGGAAUAACACAGGGAAACUUGUGCUAAUACCGUAUGUGCCCUUCGGGGGAAAGAUUUAUCGCCUUUGGAUGGGCCCGCGUCGGAUUAGCUAGUUGGUGGGGUAAUGGCCUACCAAGGCGACAAUCCGUAGCUGGUCUGAGAGGAUGAUCAGCCACACUGGGACUGAGACACGGCCCAGACUCCUACGGGAGGCAGCAGUGGGGAAUAUUGGACAAUGGGCGCAAGCCUGAUCCAGCCAUGCCGCGUGAGUGAUGAAGGCCUUAGGGUUGUAAAGCUCUUUCAGCUGGGAAGAUAAUGACGGUACCAGCAGAAGAAGCCCCGGCUAACUUCGUGCCAGCAGCCGCGGUAAUACGAAGGGGGCUAGCGUUGUUCGGAAUCACUGGGCGUAAAGCGCACGUAGGCGGAUCGAUAAGUCAGGGGUGAAAUCCCGAGGCUCAACCUCGGAACUGCCUUUGAUACUGUCGAUCUUGAGUCCGGGAGAGGUGAGUGGAACUCCGAGUGUAGAGGUGAAAUUCGUAGAUAUUCGGAAGAACACCAGUGGCGAAGGCGGCUCACUGGCCCGGUACUGACGCUGAGGUGCGAAAGCGUGGGGAGCAAAC
rnacentral:rRNA from 2 species